rnacentral:rRNA from 1 species
CAGCUGCCGCGGGAAUACGGAGGGCGCGAGCGUUACCCGGAUUUACUGGGCGUAAAGGGCGUGUAGGCGGCCUGGGGCGUCCCAUGUGAAAGGCCACGGCUCAACCGUGGAGGAGCGUGGGAUACGCUCAGGCUAGAGGGUGGGAGAGGGUGGUGGAAUUCCCGGAGUAGCGGUGAAAUGCGCAGAUACCGGGAGGAACGCCGAUGGCGAAGGCAGCCACCUGGUCCACUUCUGACGCUGAGGCGCGAAAGCGUGGGGAGCAAACCGGAUUAGAUACCCCUGUAGUCCCUGUCUCUUAUAC